AAAUUAGGUCAUUAAUAUGAUCUUAUUAAGGCAAUGUGUGCACGUGUCACUCUGUGGAUGAACCUUGCUGGUACCUGGAGCACAGCCUGUGUGCACACACAAACCUUAGAGGGCAGCAUUGACUUAAUCAGCUCUAUCCCAGCUCGUUUCUUUCUCAUCUUCCCUUUUUGAUAGAAAUGUGUUGUUCACUUUUCUGACUGAGGAGAAGCUUAGAUAUAACUUGAAGAAAUCCUCUCUCUAACAGUGGAAAGCCAUUGAGUGACCCUAGGAAAAAAAAAAAAUAUAUAUAUAUAUAUAUAUAUAUAUAAAUAACAACCUUGUAGAAAAACUAUUAAAAUUAUAACCUCGUAGAAUCACAGAGCUAUCUAGGUUGGAAAAGACCUUCGAGAUCAACUCUAACCAUCAGCCUGACCCACCAAGUCCCACCACCAAACUGCAUCCCAUAGUGCCCCUACAGAGUUCUGUACCCCACAGAGGGUGCAACCCCACAGAGGAGUGCCAAAUUGAGCACAGUCUUUGAGGCCAAAGGCAGCGUGGAGGCACUUCCACCUCCCAGGUGUGAUGAGCAGCUGGCCCUCGUUCAUUAGGGCUAAUUGCUGCUGCCAUGCACCUCCUGCAGGACCUGCCUCAUUCCAGAACCCUGUGAGGACAUACUCAAAAUGGGGGUGCAAGAAGGAGCCAACUUGAAACCCCUGUGAUGCUGGAGGAGCUGCUGGCAGUGCCUGGUGCCCUAGUUGAUCUAAAGGACACCAAGGAAAAGAGAUUCCCUGAGAGCGUGGCUUUGGCCUCGCGCUGCCUCUUACCGCAGACAAUCUGGCCUCUCUCGAUAGAGUAUUUGUAAUGGACCAGGACGGGAUGACAGCCAGGGGUUGACGAUUUCAACCUGCUGUAGCAGCAGUCGUGGGCAUGGCAGCACCUGGUAUCACAAAAGGCACCAUGCCAUCAGGGCAGGACGGGGAACAGAGGGGAGAUCACUGCAGUGGCUACCACCCGGUGGCUCCUGCAGUGCCUGCUCCAGCCGCACCCCCUUUGAGCUUUGGGAGGAGAAGAGGGUUGGGAGGAUUCUCUCCAUCUCCCCCAGCUCCUCACUCACCAGUCUGUCGCAUCCAGAGGUUGCUUGCCUCCCCCCAAGCCGCAGUAGCAGCCGUAGCCAUUGUACGCCAGCGGGUUCUUGCCCGUCUUCAGCUUGAUCAUCUUACCAAACUGAAACGCGCUGCCAUCCACGUCCACGGGGACCAGCCCUACGACUGGAGACCUGCCGUUAGGAGCACCAGAACAAAGCCCCCACCCGACCAUCCACCCCAAAACCGCCCAAAUUAUGGUGGAUUUAGGGAAGCUGUUAUCCCCCUGAUGCCUCCAGGCGGUACUUACGGCAGACGAGGAGCACCAAGAGCUUCAUGGUUGGCGGCGAGCAGCUCCGGAGUGGGGUGAGCCUUCGGGUCCUGCACCUUAGGGUGCGCUCAGCUGCACCUCUUAUAGCCAACGCGUGCCCGCUCAGCCUGGCUCCUCCUCUGUUGUCUUCACAGCGGGCAAAUAUUGACAGUCCUUGCCACAUUGGUCCCGUUACGUGUGCAAGCUGCUCUCCUCUUGGAUGGGGGCCUGCUCGGAUGCAAAUCCCUUUCUCGGAAAAGUCGGGGCGCCCUUUGAUGGGAGGUUUGGGUGGACUGGGAUGAGUUGGGUCAAGCCUGUGCACAGCUCCGGGUAUCUCAGCGCCCUGAACAAAAUGGGAAAACUCGAGGGAAAAGAGCAGCAAUAUGGUUUCUGGAUGGCUGUUAGGUUUUUUUGAUGUCUCGGUUAGAAAGCUCCAUGCUGUGUCUUGCUGGUUGCCAUAAUGACUCGCUUGGGCAGGGAAAAAACACAACCAGUGCAAAGCAUCCCCCUCCCCUGUUGUUUUUUUGUGCAACUGGGAGCUUGCUGGUGCCCAGAUGCCCCUUGCCAGAUCAGCCUCCAGGCAAGGAAAAAAAAAUGUGAGUGGUAUAUAAUGGAAGGCUGAUAAAGGGGGUGAUGGUGUCAUUGGCUUGGAGGGCAUCUCUAAUUAGGUGAUGCCCAAAGACCAUUUUAGCCAUUUUUUCUGGCGCAGAGGUCGCAGGUGCCUAGUGCCGUGUGCCUCGCAGAGCACUUUGCCAGAAACCCUGGCACUGAGACAGGGAGAGGAAAUCCCCUGUCACUGAAACUGAGACAGGGAACGAGGAUGUGGCUGCGUGGAUAUCAGAGGGAUGGUGAGAAAAAGGAACUGGGCUCAGGGCCUCAGCAAGUCUCUCUUCCCCGCCUGGUACUUGUCUUCCCCCCCAGAUGAGGCUGGGCCUUGCUCAUGGGGUUUUUGCCCCUCCGGCAGCACCACAGCCUCGGCUUUUGCUGAAUUUACACACACGUUUGCACAAAGUUGCCUCUUUUCACACCGUGCACCAAUUCCAGCACUGCCUCCAGCACUUUUGCACCCCAUUUAUUGCACCUGAGGUAACAGAGCAGCCCCUGGAGCCCGAAAUGAGCUGAUCUGUACAGCCAGAUGUCCGAGCAGGAAAAUACAUAGAAAGUUAAAAUUAAUCCAGAAUUUAAAUAGAGAGCGAGCGUGUUUCGGCUCAUCCUGGUGUGCAAUCUGUCUGCUCGAGCGCCCCUGUCCCAUCUCGGCAAGGAUUUGAUCCUUGAUUUACGCCCUGCAAACAGCAGCUGCUCGGCACGGGGCUGCGCUCUCCUUCCUGGUGGGUGCUCGUCCACCCCCCAGGCUAAACACCGGGCGCCUGGUUCACAGCUGGAGGGAAACCUUUCUGGUUUGAGGGACACUUCCUUAUUCGAGGGGUGCUUCCCGAUUUAAGGGAUACUUCCUAGUGCGAUCGAGUUCAGCUCUGGGGCAAGCCGGGGUGGGAAUUGCAGCUGCCAAUGGCCGGGGCACAGCAGAGCAUCCUCCAGCCCCAGAGAAACCCCUUUUUGUCCCCAUUUUUGGGGUUGUGUUUCACUGCAGAGCCCCGUGGCAGCUUGCAGUGCUCUCCAAGUCCUCGGAGGAGGUGAGACCAGCAGAAAACCUGCAUCACUGGGAUGCUUGAGGCAGGAGGAAGCAGCCACAGCCUAAGCUGCCUUUUCCUAGGGGACGUGCUGGGGGUUGUUGCAAAAUAAGGCCGAAACAUUCUUUUCUGGUGAGAAAGAUGUUUUGCUCUGUUCCGGGAGUUAGGCAAGCGUGAGCUCCCUGGCUGUCCCAGGGCAGCAAAGCUCAUCGGCACCCAGCCCUCCUGCGGCUUUGUGCCUGUCCCCAGCCUUUCACAGCAGCUUCCAGCCCUUCUGCCGGGAGGCAACUGCAAAUUUCGGGAGCCUGGAGGCUGGGGCCGAAGCCGCGUGGUUGCU